rnacentral:rRNA from 1 species
UACGAAGGGUGCAAACGUUGCUCGGAAUCAUUGGGCGUAAAGCGCACGUAGGCGGCCUUGUAAGUCGGAUGUGAAAUCCCACGGCUCAACCGUGGAAGUGCAUCCGAAACUGCGAGGCUCGAGUAUGGAAGAGGGUCGCAGAAUUCCCGGUGUAGAGGUGAAAUUCGUAGAUAUCGGGAGGAAUACCAGUGGCGAAGGCGGCCUGCUGGGCAGUUUAGCUGACACUGAGGCGCGACAGCGUGGGGAGCAAACAGG